rnacentral:rRNA from 1 species
GACGAACGCUGGCGGCGUGCUUAACACAUGCAAGUCGAACGGAAAGGCCCUGCUUUUGUGGGGUGCUCGAGUGGCGAACGGGUGAGUAACACGUGAGUAACCUGCCCCUGACUUUGGGAUAACUUCAGGAAACUGGGGCUAAUAUCGGAUAGGAGCUCUUGCUGCAUGGUGGGGGAUGGAAAGAUUCGGCGGUUGGGGAUGGACUCGAGGCUUAUCAGCCUGUUGGUGGGGUAGUGGCUUACCAAGGCUUCGACGGGUAGCCGGCCUGGGAGGGUGACCGGCGACAAUGGGACUGAGGUACGGAGCAGACUCCUACGGGAGGCAACAGUGGGGAGUAUUACGCAAUGGGGGGAAGCCUGAUGCAGCAACGCCGCGUGCGGGAUGACGGCCUUCGGGUUGUAAACCGAUUUCGCCGGUGACGAGGCGUGAGUGACGGUAAUGGGUAAAGAAGCACCGGCUAACUACGUG